CAUACCUCGUACCUUUUGCAUCAUGAUUUAGCUAGAAAACCUCAAGCAAAGAGCACUUUAGUUUGAUUCCCCGAAACUAGGUGAGCUACUCCAAGACAGCCUAUCAUUAGGGCCAACCCGUCUCUGUGGCAAAAGAGUGGGAAGAGCUUCGAGUAGAGGUGACAGACCUAUCGAACCUAGUUAUAGCUGGUUACCUGAGAAUUGGAUAGAAGUUCAGCCUCUCGGCUUCUUCAUUCACCGAGAGAGUUAAUCAAAGGGGGUACAGCCCCUUUGAUACAAGAAACAACUUUACCAGGAGGAUUAAGAUCAUAAUUAAACUAAGGCAUAAUGUUCUGGUGGGCCUAAAAGCAGCCACCCCCAAAGAAAGCGUUAAAGCUCAGACAUAAUAUCCCGAUAACUAUUUCUUACUCCCCUAAUUCUAUCAGGCCGCCCCAUGCAACCAUGGGAGCGAUCAUGCUAAAAUGAGUAAUAAGAGGGGCCCCUCUCCUUGCACACGUGUAAAUCGGAACGAACCCCCACCGAACCUUAACGGCCCCAAAACAAAGAGGGUAUUGAACAACAACUAGAAAACUAUUCACCGUUAACCCCACACUGGUGUGCCCCCAAGGAAAGACUAAAAGAAAAGAGAAGGAACUCGGCAAACACGCCUCGCCUGUUUACCAAAAACAUCGCCUCUUGC
rnacentral:rRNA from 1 species